rnacentral:rRNA from 1 species
AUGAAAAGUAUGGUCAAGGCACUAUGGCCAACCGUAGCGGCACCAGAUGAUAUGGCCGAACUAGCGAAGCGCUUUGAGGGAGCUCGGCGACGGCUUGAAUUAUGGAAAAUAUCAGCUUGUCGGGAAGGGGUGCGAGAAGAAUGGGCCAUUGUGAAGACCCGAUUCAGGAAACUUGAGCCAGAGCAUAUGGCUCGUGUUGGGCCAGUAGGGCCAGACGAACAGGAAAUACCUCUUCACUUGGUUUAUGACCAAGUGAUGCCUACAGCUCGGCUCUCCCAGCAGGAUUGCGCCUUGGAUAGCAUAAUAGACAAUGUGGACAAAGAGUGA